rnacentral:rRNA from 1 species
AAAUUGAAGAGUUUGAUCAUGGCUCAGAUUGAACGCUGGCGGCAGGCCUAACACAUGCAAGUCGAGCGGAAACGAGUUAUCUGAACCUUCGGGGGACGAUAACGGCGUCGAGCGGCGGACGGGUGAGUAAUGCCUAGGAAAUUGCCCUGAUGUGGGGGAUAACCAUUGGAAACGAUGGCUAAUACCGCAUGAUGCCUACGGGCCAAAGAGGGGGACCUUCGGGCCUCUCGCGUCAGGAUAUGCCUAGGUGGGAUUAGCUAGUUGGUGAGGUAAUGGCUCACCAAGGCGACGAUCCCUAGCUGGUCUGAGAGGAUGAUCAGCCACACUGGAACUGAGACACGGUCCAGACUCCUACGGGAGGCAGCAGUGGGGAAUAUUGCACAAUGGGCGCAAGCCUGAUGCAGCCAUGCCGCGUGUGUGAAGAAGGCCUUCGGGUUGUAAAGCACUUUCAGUCGUGAGGAAGGUAGUGUAGUUAAUAGCUGCAUUAUUUGACGUUAGCGACAGAAGAAGCACCGGCUAACUCCGUGCCAGCAGCCGCGGUAAUACGGAGGGUGCGAGCGUUAAUCGGAAUUACUGGGCGUAAAGCGCAUGCAGGUGGUUUGUUAAGUCAGAUGUGAAAGCCCGGGGCUCAACCUCGGAAUUGCAUUUGAAACUGGCAGACUAGAGUACUGUAGAGGGGGUAGAAUUUCAGGUGUAGCGGUGAAAUGCGUAGAGAUCUGAAGGAAUACCGGUGGCGAAGGCGGCCCCCUGGACAGAUACUGACACUCAGAUGCGAAAGCGUGGGGAGCAAACAGGAUUAGAUACCCUGGUAGUCCACGCCGUAAACGAUGUCUACUUGGAGGUUGUGGCCUUGAGCCGUGGCUUUCGGAGCUAACGCGUUAAGUAGACCGCCUGGGGAGUACGGUCGCAAGAUUAAAACUCAAAUGAAUUGACGGGGGCCCGCACAAGCGGUGGAGCAUGUGGUUUAAUUCGAUGCAACGCGAAGAACCUUACCUACUCUUGACAUCCAGAGAACUUUCCAGAGAUGGAUUGGUGCCUUCGGGAACUCUGAGACAGGUGCUGCAUGGCUGUCGUCAGCUCGUGUUGUGAAAUGUUGGGUUAAGUCCCGCAACGAGCGCAACCCUUAUCCUUGUUUGCCAGCGAGUAAUGUCGGGAACUCCAGGGAGACUGCCGGUGAUAAACCGGAGGAAGGUGGGGACGACGUCAAGUCAUCAUGGCCCUUACGAGUAGGGCUACACACGUGCUACAAUGGCGCAUACAGAGGGCAGCCAACUUGCGAAAGUGAGCGAAUCCCAAAAAGUGCGUCGUAGUCCGGAUUGGAGUCUGCAACUCGACUCCAUGAAGUCGGAAUCGCUAGUAAUCGUGGAUCAGAAUGCCACGGUGAAUACGUUCCCGGGCCUUGUACACACCGCCCGUCACACCAUGGGAGUGGGCUGCAAAAGAAGUAGGUAGUUUAACCUUCGGGGGGACGCUUACCACUUUGUGGUUCAUGACUGGGGUGAAGUCGUAACAAGGUAGCGCUAGGGGAACCUGGCGCUGGAUCACCUCCUUA